UUUAACGCUGGCGGCAGGCCUAACNCAUGCAAGUCGANCGGAAACGAGUUAACUGAACCUUCGGGGAACGUUAACGGCGUCNAGCGGCGGACGGGUGAGUAAUGCCUAGGAAAUUGCCCUGAUGUGGGGGAUAACCAUUGGAAACGAUGGCUAAUACCGCAUAAUGCCUUCGGGCCAAAGAGGGGGACCUUCGGGCCUCUCGCGUCAGGAUAUGCCUAGGUGGGAUUAGCUAGUUGGUGAGGUAAGGGCUCACCAAGGCGACGAUCCCUAGCUGGUCUGAGAGGAUGAUCAGCCACACUGGAACUGAGACACGGUCCAGACUCCUACGGGAGGCAGCAGUGGGGAAUAUUGCACAAUGGGCGCAAGCCUGAUGCAGCCAUGCCGCGUGUAUGAAGAAGGCCUUCGGGUUGUAAAGUACUUUCAGCAGUGAGGAAGGUGGUGUAGUUAAUAACUGCAUCAUUUGACGUUAGCUGCAGAAGAAGCACCGGCUAACUCCGUGCCAGCAGCCGCGGGGUAAUA
rnacentral:rRNA from 1 species